GGCCAGGUUUGGCGGGCAGGAGAGCUGGGGGGGGUAGGGGUGGAGCAGACCCCCGAGGUGCCUGGGAAGCCCAGAGGGGAAGGCGGGGAGGAGGAGGGGAGGGCAGCGCCAGGGCGUUGCUCCAGUGGAGGGGGGACAUCCCUGGGCAUUGCUUUUCUAAUCCGUUACUUUUCACUUUUUUUCUCUGCUUACUUAAAUAUGUUUUAAGGUCAUCAGUUUUCCUUUGAGGACCAUUUUAACUGAAUCCCCUAGGAUCUGCUUUCUACCAUGUUGAAGUUUGAAUGGACAUAUGUUUUCAUUCCUCCUGGGCAAAUAACCCAGAUGCAGGAUGAUGGCUGGUGAUGCAAUGGAAGGAACUCAGUCCCUCCGUCCAGCCAUCCGGUCAGCUACGAGUCAGCCCGGAGGAGUGGAGCGGACGCGGGCUGGAAUCAGAUGGACUGGAUGUGUCCCCAGCCCAGACCCUUCCUGUCCGGCCUUGCUUUCCUCCGUAAAGCGAGGGUGGAGCAAAAUACCUGGUUUCCCACCCAACACUGCUGUCGGGUUCUAGAGUUUUCCUCCACUUUUUCUGAUCCUCUCCCCUCUUCUGUUUUUUUUUUUUUUUCCCUCCUGUCUUCUAUUUCAGGCCAAAGUGUUUUUGCCUUGAAAGCUCUGAUUUUCAUUUGACAGGCAGCCACCCCAGAGCCAUGGGCCACGAGCCAUCGGGCCUGCCUUGAGUGACGCCUGUCCUCUUUUUCCCAGUCCCUCCAGCACAUGAGAUUUCCUCUAGGGCACUGCAAAGGUUUUUUCCGGAGCUGGAGUUCCCCAGUUGCUGAGCCAGAGUUACCUGACCCCCACUGUGUCCCCAGAGAGGUGUAAUUAUGCCAUCAAAUUCUCAUUGGCUCUGCUUCAAGGAUAAGGAGGCUGCUGCCCAGAGAGGUUGUUCAACUUGUACAAAGUCACACAGGUCAUCUUCCAAACCAGAUUGUCUGACUCCAAAGUCCCCACCCCACACUGCUCUCCAAGGACUUGGCUCCUCUGGCCAGGGUCUGCCUGGGCCUGUGGGAAGAGCCCUGAAGGCACCCCGAGGAGCCCAUCUAGACCUUAGAAAUAGAGCUGCUCUUAAAACUAAAUUUCAAAUCAGUCUAUUAUGUAACAGAGACGUGCACAGUCUUCUUAGAGGGUGAACAGCCCCCAGGGAUACAAAGGAAGCUGAGUGAAGGCUGCGAGUAGAGAGAUGGGCAUGCUCAGCGGUGUGGCCCUUGGUGGUAGGGGGUCCAGCCGUGUUUUGUCUGGGAUCAGGCACAUCUGAGUCGUCUGGAGGGCUGGGGGACACCCCCCUAAGUCUUUUUGCCUCCUGGGAAGUGCUCUCCUACAGAAAGAGAGAACAGAGGUACAACAGCCCACCAGUUCAUCCAUCCAUCCAUUCAGUGACUACUGAGCCUUGACUAUGUGUGAGGGACUGUUCUGGAGUCUGGAGUGCACUGAUAGAAUGUUGGAGGGAGGGGCUGCAAUAGAAGAGACAUCAAAAGGGAACAGGCAGUGGUCUUGGCAGGAGGCGGAGCCUGAGCUUCAGCAGCUUGAAGGGCCAGGGAAGCCCACACCAUUGCAGGCAGCAGGAGAGGGGAGCCAUGCAGGGGCCGGCUCAGGGUGCUGUGCCUGUGCCCCAGGACCCCCAGGCCCUGUGACCCUCUCCAGAGAGAGGACUGGGAAGACUCCAUCUCUGGGAGAAAGUAGUCCAGUCCUUGUCACACCUCAUUUACUCAUUGUCAUUAAAAGCAUGGCUUCUGAUUUAUACAUCAGCCAUAUAAACCUGGCUAAUGUGAGUCUUCCCUGGAAGCCAAUCUGUGCUCUGGUUCUGGCACAAUACUGAGCUCUCUGAGUUGGGUCAGCUGAGGGUAAAUGCUGCCUCAGGAGGCUCUUGGGGAACGACCAGCCGGUUUCAGCCACCAAAAACUUAGCAAGCAAGACGUCAUGUUUAGUUGAAGCACAAAGAUCGUGAAGCCUAGUGGUGAGAAGCCAGAUGAAUUCCUAUCACCCCAGGCUUUUCCCGCCAGGUUUUCCCCAGCUUUGGCAGCCUAAGCCAGGACUGGGGUCAUGCAUGAUGUGAGCUGGGAAGAGAUCCACGUUAUCUCUGCUGUGGUCUGAAAAAGAGUGUGGCUGGGGGCUGGGCCACUCCUUCCUGGUGUGGGAGGCAGUAGGUGUUGGCCCUGUCCUGGGCUCACCUGUCUACCUGCUGUCUUUGGGUUUCCUUACUCCGGAGGGUGGUCACUGCAGGCUGGAUUCCCAUAAACUUCAUAUAUUUGAUAUUCAGUCUGCUCUGAAAUGAGAUUCUGGGAUCCAUUGUUUUUGGAGGUUUUGACAGGAUGCACAAGGAGCCAGAUAAAAUUGAAAUAAAGUUGCAAUCGCUGAGUUAAUGACUGUGACAAUAAAAAUAAUUCAGAACCAAAUUAAUGCAACAUUAGGGCUCAUCAUUAUACUAAUAAUCUUCACACAGCAAUACAAAAACAACAAUUGUUUGGGGAGGAAUGAUUCAUUCCACGGGAGAACAGAGUUUUGGGAAAAUCUCAGAAUUUCCUUCUGCAGUCUGAAGAGGGAGAAAGGCAAGCUAAGGUUUUCCGACUUACUGUGACAAAGAGAUAGUCCCUGUGCUUAGGGGUCACCCAGCUCACCAGGUGGGGGGGACAGCCUUAAAUGACUGUAAAGCGAAGUGGCCUUGAGAGGAAGAGGGCCAUAGGGAAGGUUUCCUGGAGGCAGCAGCAUUGAGCAGAGGAAAGAGGAGUAGCAUCCAUUGGGUCUCAACCCCUCCAUGCCUCCCUCUCCUCUGCAUCCAGCUGCAGUCUGGCUUUUGUCCCUUCUUCACCUCCGAAAUGCUCUUAUCAAGUGACCUUCACGUUGUGAGCAGAUCCAGACACGGGCCCUAGGUCCUCAUCUUCCCUGACUCCCAGCAAGCUUCCACGGCCUCUGGGUUCCCACCAGCAUCACUGAACCCUUUUUCUGUCUCCUCUGCUGGCUCUGCUUCCCUUCUGACCUCUGGACACCUGCGGGCUCCAGGCUGAGCCGUCCCUUCACUCCUCCCUGUCUCCCAGCUCCCUGUCCAUCGCAUCCUGGACACUCACUGUCCACUCUUGACCCUUCUGACCGCCACCCUCAGGCAUCUCAAUGUCUGUGCAACGCCUCCCUGCGGUGUCUAAUACACGUUUUUAAAACCAGACUUCAUAAUACAGAAAAAUGCACACCUCCUAAGAGCCUAGCUCGAUGCCAUUCCACAAAGUGAAUACACUGGGGCAUCAGCUCCCGGAUCAAGAAAGAGAACAUUGCAGCUAAAGGGAGCCCCUCCUGGCCCCUGUGGCCUCACCACGCCAGUGUGGCCAUGUCCUGACUCUGUCACCUGAGAUAUUCUCCCCUGGCUUGGACUGAACAUGAAUGGAAUCAUAGGAAACCUGCUCUGGUGUCUGGCUUCUUCAGCUCCGUGUUGUGUUUGUGGGACUCGUCCAUGUUCCUGUGUAGCUGUAGUCCAUCCUUUUUGUUGCUGUAGAGGGUAUUCCUUUGUAUGAAUAUACCACAGUUUAUUCAUUCUGCUCCUGAUUGGCCUUUGUGUUGUUUCCAUUUUUAGAAUUAGGAAUAUUCCUGGUAGAGGAGGCUAACGGCUCGGUUUUACUCCUUACUUUG